CCUCACUCUUCGUUUACGAUGCGUUUGGCGUCCGUGACCGUCCUCAUCCUCGGCUCUCUCCUCCCACUUCCUUUCUCGUCCCCAUCCGCCACCCGCCCCGACUCUCUCCUCCUCGCCCCGCCGGCGAGCGGCGGCCUUCUCUUCCACUGGCACCGGAUCCGCCACCGCCACGCCUCCUUCUCCUCCUCCCUGACGCGCUCCUCUUUGCAUCUGACGCCCACCCCUCCCUCGUCUGCUUCCCUCCCCCAAGUUCUUCCAAACCCUAGCUUUCAAAUCCUUCAAAUCCGGUGAUCUCCGGCCAAGCUAGGAGCCAAUCCUUGCUGCCACCUCAAAGCGGGCCAAUCCACGGCCGCCUUCCCCUCCACGAGCAGGCCAGCGUGCGCCUCCCCGCGCCCUCGCGGUGGUGGCUCCCGCGGCCUCCACCGCGUCCCCUGAGGCGCCAGCCUCCGGGGCCAUCCCGAGGAAUGCCACGGUACUCGUGGCCGAGAAGCUCGGCGCCGCGGGGCUCGCACUGCUGCAGGAGUUCACCAACUUCGACGGCUCCUAUGGCCAAGAUCUUGCUCUACGACGCGCUCAUCGUUAGGUCCGGGACCAAGGCGAGAAACAUCGUGCAGGAUGACGCGUCCGUCAAGGCUGGUUGGUCUGAAGGAAGUUGAAGGAGUUGGCAAUAGAGCUACCACUGGAUUCUAGACUUCGGCACACUCAUCUUGAGGAUCAUUAAAGGUACAAAAGCACAUCAGGAUGUACCUGGGUGAAGUGUCAUCUUUGAUAUUGCUUCAGUUCAACUUCAAGGGGUGCUGCAUUUGCCUUAGCCUAUGAUAUGCAGAGUUCCAUGACUUACAGUUGUUACUUACGCCUCCAUAUGUGUGAGGGGAUUAGUUUCUGGUACAAAGCUAGAGGGCAAGGGAUGGCAUUGCUCAUUUUUUUUGUUUUGAUGGAUACAAUUCAUGUUCUGUAGGACUCUAAUAAUGUAUAUGGAUGUGACUGUGUUCUGUAGGACAAUUUUUCUUUUUAUUUCUUUAUACUUUUUCCUUUUUCUUUCUCAUUUUAUUUUUUCCUGUUUAUUUCUCUACCUUUUCCUUUUUUUCCUUUCUUUUCUUCUUCUUUUCCUUUUCUCCCUUUAAUCCUUAUCCUUGCAUUCUUAUUAUUAUAUUAUUCUUUGCUCACCUCUUUUCCUCCCCAUCAGAAAACCAUAAAAAAGGAGAUUGAAAACCAAAAACCUUUUAAGAUGAGCGUAAUCAGCAACAAAGACCUUACACCUCUUUUUUCCUAGAUGUUGCUCUGGUUGGGGAGCGGACGGCGGGCAUGGAGGUUGCAGUCCUGUAGCAUGGAAGUGGUGUUAUCGAAGAUGAAGUUGAUGGUGCCCUUAGCUACACCCGUGCCGAGUAGGGCAGUGCAUGUCGGAGGUGGAGUGGAGUUAUUUAAACUCGAUUGCAGGGACGAUCUUUGGGUUUCUUUGUGUUGCAGUGACGGCCUUUAGUUUUUUUCAGCUCCUUUUCAGGUGUGUUUGUUGUGGUGGAGGAAUUAUUUGUGCUAGAAUUGAUGGCUUACAAUAGUGACUUGCGGUUGUGUAUAGAAAAUCGGUAGAAGUUAUAAAUAGAAGGUCCUAGUGGAUGAUGACGUGGAUAGCUUGCAUGUUGAGAGAAAUAAAAUUAAUGACUCUUAGGAGGGACUAA